GGCCUUAUGGUCUAGUAGUAUGAUUCCUCGUUUGGGUAUUGCUUGCCUAAUUCGAGGAGGUCCUGGGUUCAACUCCCAGUGAGGCCC